GGGCACAUGGUGUAGUUGGUUAUCACAUCCGCUUAGCAUCAUGUCAUUUGAAUAUGCUGUGCAAUUGCGGGGGGUGCUGGGUUCAAUUCCCAGUGUGUCCA